rnacentral:rRNA from 1 species
AAAGGGUGGUGUAGGCGGGUAUUUAAGUCAGUGGUGAAAUCUCCGAGCUCAACUCGGAAACUGCCAUUGAUACUAUUUAUCUUGAAUAUUGUUGAGGUAGGCGGAAUAUGUCAUGUAGCGGUGAAAUGCUUAGAUAUGACAUAGAACACCGAUUGCGAAGGCAGCUUGCUAAACAAUUAUUGACGCUGAGGCACGAAAGCGUGGGGAUCAAACAGGAUUAGAUACCGUGU